GAAUGUUAAUUUUUGUGCCUGAGUAGUAUUAGUUAUGUUCUUGAAACUUAAAGAAUUUGGCGGUAUCUCAUUCCGUCCAGAGGAAUCUGUCCCGUUAUCGAUAGUCCGCGUUGGACCUUACUUAUAUUGAUCUGGUUUGUAUACCGCCGUUUAUUGAUUAUCUUUUUAGGGUUAUAUUAAUUUUCUGGUUUCUUUAAUUUGAUGUAUUUCAGGUCAAGGUGCAGCUUGUUUUUAAGUGGAAUGAUGGAUUACAUUGUUAUUUGUUUGUGGAUUGUUGAUUUUAAUAUUGGCAUGAAAUUGGAUUUGGUUGUAAUGGUUUGUAGAUUGUUAUUAUGAUAAUUGGUUCUGGGAUAUGUACACAUCGCCCGUCGCUCUCGUUUGUUUAUUGUAAUGAGAUAA
rnacentral:rRNA from 1 species